UCGCACAGGAGCAAGUUACCGC
rnacentral:miRNA from 1 species